rnacentral:rRNA from 1 species
UACGUAGGGUGCAAGCGUUAAUCGGAAUUACUGGGCGUAAAGCGUGCGCAGGCGGUUUUGUAAGUCAGAUGUGAAAUCCCCGGGCUUAACCUGGGAACUGCGUUUGAAACUACAAGGCUAGAGUGUGGCAGAGGGGGGGUGGAAUUCCACGUGUAGCAGUGAAAUGCGUAGAGAUGUGGAGGAACACCGAUGGCGAAGGCAGCCCCCCUGGGUUAACACUGACGCUCAUGCACGAAAGCGUGGGGAGCAAACAGG